ACGUAGGGUCCAAGCGUUAAUCGGAAUUACUGGGCGUAAAGCGUGCGCAGGCGGUUUUAUAAGCCAGAUGUGAAAUCCCCGGGCUUAACCUGGGAAUGGCAUUUGGGACUGUAAGGCUAGAGUACGGCAGAGGGGACUAGAAUUCCUGGUGUAGCAGUGAAAUGCGUAGAUAUCAGGAGGAAUACCGAUGGCGAAGGCAGGUCCCUGGGUCGAUACUGACGCUCAUGCACGAAAGCGUGGGGAGCAAACAGGAUUAGAUACCCUGGUAGUCCACGCCCUAAACGAUGUCAACUGGUUGUUGGGGAAUUCAUUUCCUUAGUAACGAAGCUAACGCGUGAAGUUGACCGCCUGGGGAGUACGGUCGCAAGAUUA
rnacentral:rRNA from 1 species